rnacentral:lncRNA from 1 species
CUUUACCUUUUAAAAUGAAAUGGAAGCCAUGCAGCAUACAUUGUUACCUCUAAAUCAAGUUACAAUUAUAGACUAGAAUUAGUGCAUUUCCUUGGAAUAAUCUAAGCACAGCUUAUAGGCUAUAAAAUCGUAAUAAGUUAAUAACAAAACAAAUUAGGUGCUUGUAAUUUAAUUUAAGCUUCAUGGGCUGCCAGACUAUAUAACAAAAUGGAAUUUUGCUGUAUGUUUUAAUGUCCAUCGCUCAUUUUCAAGUUCUUCAAGUAAUAACUAUAGAAAUGAGGAGCAACAUAUUUUUCUUCUUAUCGAUGAUAAUUCCAAUUUUGUGACAAAAUGAUUCAAACUAAGGAUGACGGAUCAUCACAUAAUAUUGUUAAUAGAGUUAUAAUUUAAGCUCUAGUACUGUCUUUUGAAUUCUUAAUCUCAAAAUGUGAGACCCACAUAAAGAACAUCAGGAUUUCUAUUAUUAAGGUGUGAUAAGCACAUAAACACAGGCAUCUAAUUUCUCUGGCCCCUCAAGCUGAGAAGUCUAGUAACUUAUAAAUUGAAUAUAAUCAUAUUUUCACCUAUUGUAAUUCGAAAAUUCAAAAUUUUGAAUCCGAACCCUACGAAAACACAUUACUUAAAAUUCCAAUAUUUCCGGGAUUAUAAACCAUUGAUAAUAAAUCUCAUAUCCAGGGAAAUAAAAAUAUAAGCAGUGAAAUAAUUUUGCCUCUGAUAAAUCCCAAAUCCACAACGACAAUAUAAGAAAAUACAAAUACAAUAAUAAAAUAUGUUUCCAUCAAAUCUAA